GGCGAUAUAUCGCCGAUAUAUCCCGAUAUUUUUGUCUUGUUUAGGACCAAGGUUUGGACUCUAAGGAUAAUGCUUCAGAUGGACUAAUCUGGGCAUGAAGUUAGCAGGGCUCUUUUGUAUUGAAACCGUUUAUACUAUGCCUAAAGAGACCUAAAUCAUGUGACAUGCUUAGUCCUGUUGGCCUUUAUGUUGCAGUGUAGGAUAUUAUCUUUGGGGUGGAAUGGGCAAAAAAUAAUGGGGUAGGUUCAAUUGCUGGUCAGCAAUAUUUGGGUGUUUUUGAGGUGGAGGGUUGAGCAGAGCAUUCCCAGUGAGAGAAAUGAUGAUGCUGACUUAAGGAAAGGCUUUUCUGCUAGAAAUAUGGAUCAUGGUGGGUUUUCCAGCAAGGAAACCUGCAGAAAUGGAUGAGGACACAUUGCUUUAUGAUUGGGGUUUGUGGAAUCUAUUAUAGUUAACCUUGAUGGAGAGCCCUUCUUGGGCCGAUGUGGCUCAGAGCACUUUGGGUUUGAAUUGAGUGUUACUGGACCUUCAAUCAAGUUCAGAGUCUGGUGGGUCUUAUGGAUUCUACUGUUGAGGAGAUCGUUACGUUUGAGAUAGUCUUGCCUGGAUUUUGCCUUGUGCAACUCUCGGUUCACAAGAAAGUUACUGGGUUGAGUGCAUGAUGGGUUUGGGGGUUCAAAAAGAUAUUGAGUGGUGUACAAUGGGGAAGGAGAUCAAAGUCUGAGGGAUGAGUUCUUUUUUGCAGUGAGAAUGAAGCAGAGAGUUUGUUGAAGCCCUUUGAUUGCUGUGACCAUGGUGCAUCCGUUGGUAGGAGUGGCAGGUUCUGGGGGAGAGUCUAAUGGAUACUCGAUCUCCUUAGGAUGCCAGUAUGUUUGGGGAGGGUGUUAAGAUAGAGGCUUAUUUGAUCAGCAUUUAUAACAUUAUAGUGAAUGUGUUGGAUUGGAGGUUGAAGGUUGGCCUCUAGAUUAAGAAUCCAACCCCUAGAUUUAAUUUGCGAAUCAGAUGAUGAGAAGCUAAUAAUUUGGAAUGGGAUUUUCUUCCCUAUAUAAUGAGAAUUGCUUUUGUGGACAAGGGAAGGAGGUGCAUAAUCUAUUGCAGAUUAUUUACAUGUUUAAAAGUUCUAUAGGCAUUCAACAAGGAAGCACUCUUUUCUCACCUAUGUUUAAAAGUUCUAUAGGCAUUCAACAAGGAAGCACUCUUUUCUCACCUAUUUAUUAUGGGCAUGAAAAUUUUUUGUAGGUCAAUUCAAAAGUCAGUUGCAGGGAAUUUUAUGAAAGGCUUGAGAUGGUUGGGAGAGAAGGUAUCAAAAGGGUUACAAGAUUAGGGUGGGAGAUGGGAGGCUGAUGGAUUCUUGGAAACAGCUGCAGUGGGACUGCUAUCUCCUGGGUGAAUUCCUGUAUCUUUUUUCUUAUGGUUUCAAGUAAAGUGGUUUAGGUUUGUGAGUGUGGUGGAAGUGGUUAAAAGUUUGGAACCAGACUGACUUUUUCUGGUGGUUUUUAUUGACAUUUUGAUCCCUUGGGCAUAAGGGUGGUUGGAUGAGUGUUCUUUUUUAAAGAAAGGAGAGCAGAAUCAGAUAACUCUAUCUAAAGUGUUUUCUUGCCUUUUGGUUUGGAUAAGUGUCUGGGUGUGGAUGAUAAAUCGAUAAAUAGAAGCUGGGCCAUCAUGAAUGGGUAGAUUGUGUUAAGAAAAUGUGAGUUGGUAAUAAUCUUUUCUUUCUUUUAGAUGGAUUAAAAAAUUGUGGGACUCUGUCUUCUUCCCUUUUUUUUUUUUUUUUUCCAUUUAGAUUUAGUUGGUAAAGCUGUCAUUGGCCAGUAAAUAAUGAUGUGGUUGUUUAAAAGAGCUGGAAAUGAGAGGAACUGGGGUUGUUUAGGGUUUUGUUCUGCAUCCUAUGUUCUCAUGUAAUUGGAAGGAGGAAAUGUAAGGAUAUCUGGUACUAGGAACUCCCUAUAUUGGAAUGACCUACAUUGAAAUCGAAGUUGAUUUUUUCCCCCUUUAUUUGGUGUAAUUUGGUUGGAUUUGGGGGGUUCUUCUUGGAUUUAAUGUUCUUUUAUCUUGUAAUUUUGUUUUCUUUUGGUUGUAUGCCUUAUGCACACAUGAGCUCUAGCUCUUUUCCUUUGAUCGGUAAUAGAAUAUGUUUCUUAUAAAAAUAUUUGAUCCCUCUUGGUGCUCUUUUAUAAAAAUCAUUGAGCAAGAGAAGGUUGAUAAAUUUAGCUUCAGGAUAACUAAAAAGCGUUAUUUACUUGCAUGUUUACCAAUGGUUUCUUUUCUCUAUCUUAUGGGUGGCCUGAUUCCAUUACAACAUGAGCAAUCUAUUUGGUUGUAAUCUGCACAUUUGAAAUUGACGUCCGAUUUUGCUGUCAAUUAUGCUGCAACUUCAAGUUCUUGGUCUGUUUAGUUUAAUGAAUCAUUCAAAU
rnacentral:lncRNA from 1 species